rnacentral:rRNA from 1 species
GAUCCUGGCUCAGGAUGAACGCUGGCGGCGUGCUUAAAACAUGCAAGUCGAACGGGAAAUACUUUAUUGAAACUUCGGUCGAUUUAAUCUAUUUCUAGUGGCGGACGGGUGAGUAACGCGUGGGUAACCUGCCUUAUACUGGGGGAUAACAGCCAGAAAUGGCUGCUAAUACCGCAUAAGCGCACGGGGCCGCAUGGUCCUGUGUGAAAAACUCCGGUGGUAUAAGAUGGACCCGCGUUGGAUUAGCUAGUUGG